rnacentral:snRNA from 1 species
NUGCUCGCCAUGGGCAGCACUUAGGCUAAAAAUGGGAAUGGUAUGGAGAAAAUUAGUGUGCUCCUUGCACGAAGGGUGACACCACAAAACUAUAAAGCAUUCUAUACUUUU